UAGAGUUUGAUCCUGGCUCAGAUUGAACGCUGGCGGUAUGCUUAACACAUGCAAGUCGAACGGAAACGAUACUAGCUUGCUAGUAGGCGUCGAGUGGCGGACGGGUGAGUAACGCGUAGGAAUCUACCAGAUAGUGGGGGAUAGCCCGGAGAAAUUCGGAUUAAUACCGCAUAAUCUCUACGGAGUAAAGGAGGCCUCUAUUUAUAUGCUUUCGCUAUCUGAUGAGCCUGCGUAAGAUUAGUUAGUUGGUGAGGUAAAAGCUCACCAAGGCGACGAUCUUUAGCUGGUCUGAGAGGAUGAUCAGCCACACUGGGACUGAGACACGGCCCAGACUCCUACGGGAGGCAGCAGUGGGGAAUAUUGGACAAUGGGGGCAACCCUGAUCCAGCAAUACCGCGUGUGUGAAGAAGGCCUGAGGGUUGUAAAGCACUUUCAAUUGUGAAGAAAAGUUAAUAGUUAAUAACUA
rnacentral:rRNA from 1 species